CUUUUCGCUUCAUUAGGCUUGCGCUUUGAUAAAGAGAAAGCUGUUGUCAUAGAGAAAUUGAUUUUAUUUUCUCCUAUUACCGCGUCAUUGCUUGCGCUGAUAAGAAUUGUGGUGUUGAAGAGACGACUGCUCAGCAAGUCUUCCAUCCUCACAAGUGCAAUUGCUGCAUGGAUUAAAGUGUACAAAAUUGUCCGCGAUAUUUCAACAAAUUGGCGGCCGCAACAGUCAAGUCGUUAGAAUUGCGCACUGUCAUUCGGAAAGCCAGAGUUCCUGAUUCGAUCAAAAUUAAUUUUUCUAAUUGCGGUCAUCCCUCGACAGAGAAUAUCAAGCAUAAAACAAAAGCGCCUGAUAAAAAUUCAUUAACUUUUCAGAGGCGCCUUAGAACCAACCUUUAACCAACGACGAUCUGCCUUUGAGCGUAUUUCAAGCGAGAACAAUGCGAGACACGAUUGGAUGGAGCAAAAAGUGUGCGUUGAAAAUAAGUUAUUCUGGGAACAUCGAACGGCUUUUAUUGGUAAUUGUCUUAAGUGGGUAUGUGCAAGUAGUAAGAAGCAAGCUUAACUGGGAAAAGGGAAAGGACACAUAGCUCAAUUUAGGCGGGCUAACGCCUAAUGCCAGCUAAUGCGAGAAAAAAAUAAA